GUCAGGAUGGCCGAGGGGUCUAAGGCGCCAGACUCAAGCGCGAGCUUCUCCUCAGUGCAGGAGUCUUCUGGUCUCCGUAUGGAGGCGUGGGUUCGAAUCCCACUCCUGACA
rnacentral:tRNA from 1 species